CGGGAUGGAGCAGCAUGGUAGCUCGUCGGGCUCAUAACCCGAAGGUCGUUGGUUCAAAUCCAGCUCCCGCAACCA
rnacentral:tRNA from 1 species